AUCCACCUGGGGAGUACGAUCGCAAGGUUGAAACUCAAAGGAAUUGACGGGGGCCCGCACAAGCGGAGGAACAUGUGGUUUAAUUCGAUGAUACGCGAGGAACCUUACCUGGGCUUAAAUGUAGAUUGCAUAGGGUGGAAACAUCCUUUCCCUUCGGGGCUAUUUACAAGGUGCUGCAUGGUUGUCGUCAGCUCGUGCCGUGAGGUGUCGGGUUAAGUCCCAUAACGAGCGCAACCCUUAUCGUUAGUUGCCAGCGGGUAGAGCCGGGGACUCUAGCGAGACUGCCCCCGUAAGGUGAGAGGAAGGUGGGGAUGACGUCAAAUCAGCACGGCCCUUAUGUCCAGGGCUACACACGUGUUACAAUGGCAGGUACAAAGGGCAGCUACACAGUGAUGUGAUGCUAAUCUCAAAAGCCUGUCCCAGUUCGGAUUGGAGUCUGCAACCCGACUCCAUGAAGUUGGAUUCGCUAGUAAUCGGAUAUCAGCCAUGAUCCGGUGAAUACGUUCCCGGGCCUUGUACACACCGCCCGUCAAACCAUGGGAGCUGGGGGUGCCUGAAGUCUG
rnacentral:rRNA from 1 species